rnacentral:misc_RNA from 1 species
GGAUGAAAAAGCAACAACUGAAUUUAAAGAUGCGGUAGAGCAACUAUUAAGCUGCUUCCCAAACGCUUUUCUGGCUUCCAAGAUGGAACCCGUUGUCUAUGGAGGGAUCUCCAGGCUCCAGGCUGACCUGAACUGCAUCAGAGAUCUUUCUGCCUUCGAGGUCUCAUGGAAGUACGUUAUCAACACCUGUGGGCAAGACUUCCCCCUGAAAACCAACAAGGAAAUAGUUCAGUAUCUGAAAGGAUUUAAAGGUAAAAAUAUCACCCCAGGGGUGCUGCCCCCAGCUCAUGCAAUUGGACGGACUAAAUAUGUCCACCAAGAGCACCUGGGCAAAGAGCUUUCCUAUGUGAUAAGAACAACAGCGUUGAAACCGCCUCCCCCCCAUAAUCUCACAAUUUACUUUGGCUCUGCCUAUGUGGCUCUAUCAAGAGAGUUUGCCAACUUUGUUCUGCAUGACCCACGGGCUGUUGAUUUGCUCCAGUGGUCCAAGGACACUUUCAGUCCUGAUGAGCAUUUCUGGGUGACACUCAAUAGGAUUCCAGGAAUGAUCCCUCUCUUGUCACCCAGGCUGGAAUACAGUAGUACUCAAACUCACUGCAGCCUUUAGCUCCUAGGCUCAAGCAAUCCUCCCACUUCAGCCUCCCCAGUAGCUGGGACUACAAGAGUGCAUCACCAUGCUUGGCUAAUUUAAAAAAAAAAAUUGUGGAGAUGGUGUCUUUCUGUGUUGCCUAGGCUGGAGUGCAGAUGUGCAAUCAUUGUUCACUGCAGUCUCAAACUCC